rnacentral:lncRNA from 1 species
GUGUCUCUGUCACUUAAUGUGCAAUCUGUUGCCUGUCUGUUUUGAAAUGGGGGCUCCUUUUAAUGAGUUAAUUCUGCAGGCGGCAGGCUUAGGAGGAGCCCAUGUGUGAGUGCAGAUUUCAACAUAUCUCUGUGUGCGCCCCGACUGUGUGCAUGCGUUUCUGACACCUCGGCCUGCAGAAUUAACCCGUUAAAGGAGCCCCGGGGAGCAGGCCGUGCAUCGUCUUGACGAGUGUCCUCCCGCUCACACCUGCCAGCCGCUCCGUCUGCCUGUCUCUGCCCCGUGGAGAGCGGCUCUUUGAUGCCUGGCGCAGGCAGAGCUGGUGUCUGCAGAGCUUGGCGCUGGAGGAGCCGCCUGCUGCCUGCCUGCCCUUCCGGUCACCCGCGCUGGGAGGCUGCUUCUCAUCCCGAGCCCUGCCGUCCACUACGCUGUGGCCUGGUGCGUCCCCUGCAGGGCAGCACCUGCUACUCCCCGCACGGCGCGUACGCCCAGAGCAAGCUGGCCCUGGUCCUUUUCUCGUACCAUCUCCAGAGGCUGCUGGACACCGAGGGCAGCCACGUGACCGCCAACGUGGUGGACCCCGGGGUGGUGGACACCAACCUCUACCAGCACGUGUUCUGGGGCACCCGGCUGGUGCAGCGGCUCCUGGGCUGGCUCAUCUUCAAGACCCCGGACGAAGGCGCCUGGACGUCCGUGUACGCGGCGGUCAGCCCGGAGCUGGAAGGGCUCGGUGGCCGCUACCUGUACAACGAGCAGGAGACCAAGUCCCUGGACGUCACCUACGACCGGGAGCUGCAGCGGGAGCUGUGGGCGCGGAGCUGUCGGAUGGCCGGCAUCGCGGACGUGACGCCUGGCGCCGUGUCGCACUGACUGACUCACGGGCACGUUGCUUGCUCCCGUCCGGCGGACGGGGACUCGGGGGACCGGGGUGCUGGACCUCUGAGGCCCGUGUCCCCGGCGCUCGGUCCAGUGCCUUGGUGUCUGCUGGACGUCGGCCUGCCGGGACGUGUUGGAGGUGGCCUGGCUCGUGCCAGGGCGUCCCACGAGUGCCUUGAAAAUUAAAUCACUGCAGCCGAGCGUGCUGGUGUCCUUGUCGGCCUGCAGGGUCAGUCCCGGGCGGGCAGUGCGGCCUGCUGGUCGACCUCGUGCAGGGUCAGGAGAGCCUGGGGGUGUCUCGGGGCUCAGAGGGACACGACGGGUCCUGCUCGGGGUCACCAUGGGGUGUUCGCCAGGGCGAGGACGGGUCGCGGCCGUGUGGACCUGGCCUUGGGCGGCUGGACAGGGUCACUGCAGGGUGGACAGAGGACCGGAGCCAGAGUGGGGUCCCCGGGACCAGAGGGUGCCCCGUGGGGCGCCAGGACAGGUGCCAGGGCAGCUGGACAGGACGGUGUCCCCGGUCCCGGGACCACACGGUGCCCCAUCGGGUCUUGUAGACGGACGCACGGCCAGCGCACAGGACAGCUGCCCCGUGGGAUGCUGGGAGGGGACACCGGGCUCCCUGGCAUCCGUACCCCGCCGUGCCCCGUCCUCCGGGGAGCGCCUGGGCCCGGGGUGACUGGAGUGACGGGGGGCUCGCGGAGGCCAGCAGCGUGUCCAGUGCCGUCCGGCCCGCCCUGCAGCUCUAGAUCCUCUGAGAGCCCCCCGCGUGGUCCCGGCCCGGCGCGGCCCCUUCACGUCCACGGAGCGCACUGGGUUUCCUCUGCCCACGUGAGGAGCCCCCAAGACCACAGCUGGGCACCCCGCAGCUGGACAAGGCCCCGGUUCAUUCUCAGCAUUGGCGUGGCAGAGCUUCGGAUCCCCUUCCCGAGACAAAUCCGAGGUCUGUAAGACAGCCGUGCUGUCCGGUCCUGGACGCAUCCUGGCGUCCCACGCCAAGAUCAUCUUACGUUCCCAGAACGGGUCCGAGUUUUGUGCCAAGCGCUUAGAGCCCAGAAGGAGCUGCCAGGUGGAGUUUCUCCCUGCAAAAAGCAAGCUUGAGGGUCACUGUCCUCCGUGAAUAACCAACACUGUGCCCCAAAAAUAAUUAAAUGAAAUAUUUCUGUCCACGUUUGGCCAGGUUUGUUGACUGCAAACCAGACCGCGCACCUAUCAGGGAAUCUCGGGGGUGCAGAGACAGCGCCCCCCGCUGGGAUGUCGGCUCACUCAGGCGUGGCUGGCCCAGAGCUCAG